GCGAAUUGCCUGGUGGUGAUAGAACAUUUUUGAAACGAAAAUUCGUAAUAGCGCUGCUGAAAUGAACAUUUCUUCACGUCUACGGUGCCGGUUUUGGUGCCGGUAAUAGCUUUGGAGAAAAAGUUGCAUCUCUACAAGUGGCACCACCUGACCCGACCUCGGUCGGAUUUGUCGGCUGGCCGCUCACUCUGUUUUGUGCUGGAUCGCAGGAGGGUCGCUGGUCGCUGUGUGCAGAGGUCAGGUAGACCGUUCGUCGUUUCUGCAAAGAUGUCUCAAAAAGAACAGUUCUAUAAACUGGUUCACGAAACCAAAAUAUCUUCAAACUCUGCUUUGAUUACCGAUGAAAAGUACGAGAUUAUAAAGGAAGAACUGCAGGGAAUCAGCAAAGGCGCAAAACCGUCGGGCACCGCGAAACGUUCGCAGUGUUCGCAGUGUGUCGGCGAGUCACAGUAUAUAAUUGGCACGACGAAGGGGAAGCUGUCCGGCGUCUACGGCCCAGAAGCAGUACAACCGUGUGCCGGGCACUUCAUCUCCUCCUCCGACGUCCCCGACAUCUCGAUCACACUUAGAGAAUGUGCUCGCCUGGUCUCAGGGGGGAAGGGUCAGGGGAUGUUUUCCUGCAAGUGCAGGAGGGGUGUAUGUAAAGGCCGAUGCAAGUGCAUCAAGGCGGGCGUUACUUGUAUCAGUCGCUGCCAUAAAGGCGCUCACUGCAAUAAUAAAUAGUAAGAAAGUCA